rnacentral:rRNA from 1 species
GUGAACGCUGGCGGUAGGCCUAACACAUGCAAGUCGAACGGCAGCACAGUAAGAGCUUGCUCUUACGGGUGGCGAGUGGCGGACGGGUGAGGAAUACAUCGGAAUCUACUUUUUCGUGGGGGAUAACGUAGGGAAACUUACGCUAAUACCGCAUACGACCUACGGGUGAAAGCAGGGGAUCUUCGGACCUUGCGCGAUUGAAUGAGCCGAUGUCGGAUUAGCUAGUUGGCGGGGUAAAGGCCCACCAAGGCGACGAUCCGUAGCUGGUCUGAGAGGAUGAUCAGCCACACUGGAACUGAGACACGGUCCAGACUCCGACGGGAGGCAGCAGUGGGGAAUAUUGGACAAUGGGCGCAAGCCUGAUCCAGCCAUACCGCGUGGGUGAAGAAGGCCUUCGGGUUGUAAAGCCCUUUUGUUGGGAAAGAAAAGCAGCAGGUUAAUACCCCGCUGUUCUGACGGUACCCAAAGAAUAAGCACCGGCUAACUUCGUG